AGCAGUCGCCGCGGGAAUACGUAGGGUGCGAGCGUUAAUCGGAAUUACUGGGCGUAAAGCGUGCGCAGGCGGUUAUAUAAGACAGAUGUGAAAUCCCCGGGCUCAACCUGGGACCUGCAUUUGUGACUGUAUAGCUAGAGUACGGUAGAGGGGGAUGGAAUUCCGCGUGUAGCAGUGAAAUGCGUAGAUAUGCGGAGGAACACCGAUGGCGAAGGCAAUCCCCUGGACCUGUACUGACGCUCAUGCACGAAAGCGUGGGGAGUAAACAGGAUUAGAUACCCCUGUAGUCCCUGUCUCUUAUAC
rnacentral:rRNA from 1 species